rnacentral:tRNA from 1 species
GCGCAAGUGGCGAAAUGGCAGACGCGCCAGAUUUAGGGUCUGGUAUCCCAGGAUGUGGAGGUUCGAGUCCUCUCUUGCGCA